AAGUCCUUUGGAACAGGGCGUCAGAGAGGGUGAGAAUCCCGUCCAAGGCACGGAUGACCAGCGCUUUUGUGAUACACUCUCAACGAGUCGAGUUGUUUGGGAUUGCAGCUCAAAAUGGGUGGUAAAUUCCAUCUAAAGCUAAAUAUAGGCGAAAGACCGAUAGCGAACAAGUACCGUGAGGGAAAGAUGAAAAGCACUUUGGAAAGAGAGUUAAACAGGACGUGAAAUUGUUGAAAGGGAAACGCUUAAAGUCAGUCGCGUCUUCAGAAACUCAGCCUGGCCGGUUCGCCGGCCCAGGUGUACUUUUCUGUCCAAGACGGGCCAGCGUCAGUUUCGGCCACCAGAAAAAGGAGAGAGGAAAGUGGCAUUCCUCCCGGGGAGUGUGUUUAUAGCCUCUUCUCCGUAUGUGGUGGCUUUCCGGGACUGAGGACCGCAGCAUGCCACAAUUCAUUUGUGAUCGGGGUUCGCCCACGUGCCGUGCUUAGGAUGCUGGCGUAAUGACUUUAAACGACCCGUCUUGAAACACGGACCAAGGAGUCUAACAUGCGUGCGAGUAUUUGGGUGGUGAAAACCCAUAUGCGGAAUGAAAGUGACACUAUUUUUGUUGGGACUUUUGUCAUGAAAGGCACCGACACCCGGACCUGACCCAACCUCCCUUCACGGGGAAACGGGUCCGAGGCAGAGCAUGUAUGUUGGGACCCGAAAGAUGGUGAACUAUGCCUGAGUAGGGCGAAGCCAGAGGAAACUCUGGUGGAGG
rnacentral:rRNA from 1 species